UAUUGGGCAAUGGGCGCAAGCCUGACCCAGCAACGCCGCGUGAAGGAUGAAGGCUUUCGGGUUGUAAACUUCUUUGGCCAGGGACGAUAAUGACGGUACCUGGAGAACAAGCCACGGCUAACUACGUGCCAGCAGCCGCGGUAAUACGUAGGUGGCAAGCGUUAUCCGGAUUUACUGGGUGUAAAGGGCGUGUAGGCGGGUCGGCAAGUUGGAUGUGAAAGCCCCGGGCUCAACCCGGGAAGGUCAUCCAAAACUGCGGGUCUUGAGUGUCGGAGAGGAAAGUGGAAUUCCUAGUGUAGCGGUAAAAUGCGUAGAGAUUAGGAGGAACACCAGUGGCGAAGGCGACUUUCUGGACGAUAACUGACGCUGAGGCGCGAAAGCGUGGGGAGCAAACAGG
rnacentral:rRNA from 1 species